rnacentral:lncRNA from 1 species
GGUCUGGCCACUAGGGUUAGGGUUUGGUGUGAAGUGGGUUAUUUAUUUCCGUCUCCUUUUAAUCUGAGCCGUCCAUUGCGUUUGAUCUGAACCGUCCGAUCGCGUUUAAAUAUGAAAUGAAUCUGGACCGUUCAUCGCGAUUUGAUCUGGACUGUUCGAUCGCAUUUAAAUAGGAAGUGAAUCUGGACCGUUUAUCACAAUUUUAUUUAGACCU